rnacentral:tmRNA from 1 species
GGUCUUCCGCUUCGCCGAUCGCGUCCCUAUAUUCGACCUGUCCGGUUUCGACCGGACUAUGGGGAUAAACGCGCGCGAAAUAAGCGGACCGGACCCGGGUGCGAUUCCCGGCGGCUCCACCAUUACCUUCCUCCGCGUUAUCGGCGGGAAAGCAUGGGGCCGAUCAGCAUCGACGGACGUGUAAAGGCGUUGCUUUCUCUCGGCCUGACCCACCGUUUCGGGUCAUUUACUAACUGCGAACGAUAACUUCGCUGAAGAGUUCGCUGUCGCUGCGUAAUGCGGCGCCGGUGAGUUCGACCUAAAGCCCUGGGGGUUCAGAUCCUCAGGCGGGGCUCGGGGGAGGCCUGGCAACAGAACUCCCCCACU